AUUAGAUAGUUGGUGGGGUAACGGCCUACCAAGUCUACGAUCUAUAGCUGGUUUUAGAGGAUGAUCAGCAACACUGGGACUGAGACACGGCCCAGACUCCUACGGGAGGCAGCAGUGGGGAAUCUUGGACAAUGGGCGCAAGCCUGAUCCAGCCAUGCCGCGUGAGUGAUGAAGGCCUUAGGGUCGUAAAGCUCUUUCGCCUGUGAAGAUAAUGACGGUAGCAGGUAAAGAAACCCCGGCUAACUCCGUGCCAGCAGCCGCGGUAAUACGGAGGGGGUUAGCGUUGUUCGGAAUUACUGGGCGUAAAGCGCACGUAGGCGGACUGGAAAGUAUGGGGUGAAAUCCCAGGGCUCAACCCUGGAACUGCCUCAUAAACUAUCAGUCUAGAGUUCGAGAGAGGUGAGUGGAAUUCCGAGUGUAGAGGUGAAAUUCGUAGAUAUUCGGAGGAACACCAGUGGCGAAGGCGGCUCACUGGCUCGAUACUGACGCUGAGGUGCGAAAGUGUGGGGAGCAAACAGGAUUAGAUACCCUGGUAGUCCACACCGUAAACGAUGAAUGCCAGUCGUCGGGUAGCAUGCUAUUCGGUGACACACCUAACGGAUUAAGCAUUCCGCCUG
rnacentral:rRNA from 1 species